rnacentral:rRNA from 1 species
CGGGGCGGGGUGCUAUACAUGCAAGUCGAGCGCGGGAAGCGAGUGGAAGUCCUUCGGGACGGAUACUCGUGGAACGAGCGGCGGACGGGUGAGUAACACGUGGGCAACCUACCUGUAAGACCGGAAUAACCCCGGGAAACCGGGGCUAAUGCCGGGUAACCAUUCGGUUCUCCUGAACCGAAUGUAAAAGGAUGGCUUCUUGCUAUCGCUUACAGAUGGGCCCGCGGCGCAUUAGCUAGUUGGUAAGGUAACGGCUUACCAAGGCGACGAUGCGUAGCCGACCUGAGAGGGUGAUCGGCCACACUGGGACUGAGACACGGCCCAGACUCCUACGGGAGGCAGCAGUAGGGAAUCUUCCGCAAUGGACGAAAGUCUGACGGAGCAACGCCGCGUGAACGAUGAAGGUCUUCGGAUCGUAAAGUUCUGUUGUGAGGGAAGAACAAGGAUCGUGCGAACAGAACGGUCCCUUGACGGUACCUCACGAGGAAGCCCCGGCUAACUACGUGCCAGCAGCCGCGGUAAUACGUAGGGGGCAAGCGUUGUCCGGAAUUAUUGGGCGUAAAGCGCACGCAGGCGGUUCCUUAAGUCUGAUGUGAAAGCCCGUGGCUCAACCACGGAGGGCCAUUGGAAACUGGGGAACUUGAGAACUGAAGAGGAGAGUGGAAUUCCACGUGUAGCGGUGAAAUGCGUAGAUAUGUGGAGGAACACCAGUGGCGAAGGCGACUCUCUGGUCGGUUUCUGACGCUGAGGUGCGAAAGCGUGGGUAGCAAACAGGAUUAGAUACCCUGGUAGUCCACGCCGUAAACGAUGAGUGCUAGGUGUUAGGGGGCUUCCACCCCUUAGUGCUGAAGUUAACGCAUUAAGCACUCCGCCUGGGGAGUACGGCCGCAAGGCUGAAACUCAAAGGAAUUGACGGGGGCCCGCACAAGCGGUGGAGCAUGUGGUUUAAUUCGAAGCAACGCGAGAACCUUACCAGGUCUUGACAUCCUUGGCUACUUCUAGAGAUAGAAGUUCCCUUCGGGGACAAGUGACAGUGGUGCAUGGUGUCGUCAGCUCGUGUCGUGAGAAUGGUUGGGUUAAGUCCCGCA